rnacentral:rRNA from 1 species
GACGAACGCUGGCGGCGUGCUUAACACAUGCAAGUCGAGCGAGGGGCUUCGGCUCCUAGCGGCGAACGGGUGAGUAACACGUGGGCAACUUGCCCCGAGCUCUGGAAUAACCUCGGGAAACCGGGGCUAAUGCCGGAUAUGACACUGCUGGGCAUCUGGUGGUGUGGAAAGAUUUAUCGGCUCGGGAUGGGCCCGCGGCCUAUCAGCUUGUUGGUGGGGUGAUGGCCUACCAAGGCGACGACGGGUAGCCGGCCUGAGAGGGCGACCGGCCACACUGGGACUGAGACACGGCCCAGACUCCUACGGGAGGCAGCAGUGGGGAAUAUUGCGCAAUGGGCGAAAGCCUGACGCAGCGACGCCGCGUGGGGGAUGACGGCC